GACAUAGGUGGCGAACGUUAUCCGGAAUUAUUGGGCGUAAAGGAUGCGUAGGCGGUUGUUUAAGUCUGACGUGAAAUCUCCGGGCCUAACCCGGAAACUGCGUUGGAUACUAUUCAACUAGAGGAAUGGAGGGGAGACUGGAAUACUUGGUGUAGCAGUGAAAUGCGUAGAUAUCAAGUGGAACACCAGUGGCGAAGGCGAGUCUCUGGACAUUUCCUGACGCUGAGGCACGAAAGCCAGGGGAGCAAACGGG
rnacentral:rRNA from 1 species